rfam:Bacillus thuringiensis serovar israelensis ATCC 35646 sq1178, whole genome shotgun sequence.
AUGAAAUCGUUUAAGUAAGAAGAGUACGUAUAUUGGAGACGUUACAGAGAGCCGGGAAUAGGUGGGAGCCCGGUACGGUGCCAUAUACGGAAUGGGCUUACGAGAGGUAUGCUGAACAAUUAUUUUCAGUAGGCAACCCGGGUUCCGCCGUUACAAGGAUAAGGUAUAAAUUUUGUACCUGAACAAAGCGGGAUGCUUUUGCAUCCAACACGAGGUGGUACCGCGGUAUAUUUAUCGUCCUCUAC